GACGAACGCUGGCGGCGUGCUUAACACAUGCAAGUCGAACGGAAAGGCCCUGCUUUUGUGGGGUGCUCGAGUGGCGAACGGGUGAGUAACACGUGAGUAACCUGCCCUUGACUUUGGGAUAACUUCAGGAAACUGGGGCUAAUACCGGAUAGGAGCUCCUGCUGCAUGGUGGGGGUUGGAAAGUUUCGGCGGUUGGGGAUGGACUCGCGGCUUAUCAGCUUGUUGGUGGGGUAGUGGCUUACCAAGGCUUUGACGGGUAGCCGGCCUGAGAGGGUGACCGGCCACAUUGGGACUGAGAUACGGCCCAGACUCCUACGGGAGGCAGCAGUGGGGAGGAUUGCACAAUGGGCGGAAGCCUGAUGCAGCAACGCCGCGUGCGGGAUGACGGCCUUCGGGUUGUAAACCGCUUUCGCCUGUGACGAAGCGUGAGUGACGGUAAUGGGUAAAGAAGCACCGGCUAACUACGUG
rnacentral:rRNA from 1 species